rnacentral:rRNA from 1 species
UGGUGGAGUGAUUUGUCUGGUUAAUUCCGUUAACGAACGAGACCUCAGCCUACUAAAUAUUGGGCGUUUUCUAACGAAAGCGGUUAUCAAUAAUUAGAGGGACAUUUCGAGUUUUAUCGGAAGGAAGUUUGAGGCAAUAACA